GGCUGGACUCCCCGAGGCCUCACCCGGAUCGUGUCCACGAGGCUCUGCACCUUGGCGGGGUCCAACACGGACGGCAGCGGCCGGAUGAGCACGCUCAGCGGCACGUUGUGCACCGCGGCGAUGCGGCCCGAGUGGAUGCUGCCGCCCUGCGCGCCGCCGCUCGGCCCGGGCCCCUCGGGCGCCCCCCGACCCGCGCCGGCCCUGCCCAGCGUUCCUCCUGCACGCAGCCCCAUCGUCGCCGCCGCCGCGGGACUCGCCGCCUCCCCCCGGCCUUAACUCCGGCCGGGCCAUACCAUUCCGCGCGGCCGGGGGGGGGGGCCCGUGCCAGGGCAGCGCGCGUUUCUCCCCCGACCCCGCCGCGGUCCGGCCUCGACCCCGCGGUCCCCAGCCCGACUCCGGCUCCGCUCGCCAGGUGCCGCCAGACUCGCGCGGGGCUCAGGCUCUCCACCGGGGGGCGCCUCUCGCCUCCCCUGCGCCGCGCGGCGUCCGGGGAGUGGAAACGCCCGGGCGGGCUGACUCAGGAAGAGGAGACUGAGACACAGGUUUAAGUGAUGUACCCAAGAUCACGGAACUAGUAAGUGGCCGAAUCCGCGUUCAAAUCCAGACGGUCUGGCUCCAGAGUCCGCCUUCUACCCCACCGUUGGCUGCCUUGGUUCAGCAACAGUGACUGUCACACGGAGCCCUCAGGAGUCGCGCUGACAAUGGGUGGGCCCUGCCUUCAAGUUCCACACUGUCUGUUUGUGUCAUUACAACACUACUGGAAGUAGGUGCAGUUAUAGACCCGCUGUUCAAGGUCAGCUGAAAUGAAAGUCAGGUCACACGAGUCCAAACUGUGGGGCCACUUAACCACCAACUCCAAGCAGGAAGGUGGACGAUCCCAGACUCGGUCGAAGACAAGCAUGUCUGGUUUGCUUGUCUUCCUUCUCAACCUGAAUGGCACGAACAUGGAGAAAUGCAUACUUACCCUGCCAGCUGGAGAAAACUGGAGACGAAGGAGGGAGCCAGGAGUUUCUACUUUGCCUUCCACCAGUUGCUGACACUUUCUGAACCCCGUCUGUAAAAUGAAGUCAUGCUGCCCAUCACUCAAAGUUGUGUGAAUUGAGAGAGUGCUCAUAGUGCUCUGUGAAUUGCAUAACAUCCAUUUUGCUGUUGAAGAUCAUUUAUUUUGGGUUCUUAGUCUCUCACAAAACCUUAGAACACUGACACCAAGACUCCAGCCUUUCCCUUUCGAAACAUAAUUCCCGUGCGCACCUAAAUGAUACUUUAUUUCAAGAAGUAGAACUGACACCCACACCUCAGCCCCAGAAUUAUUCAGAAUUAGAGAAUUUCAUCAAGAGGGAAGUUAUCCCUUCUAAAACAUCUUCCUCAUUACAGGAAGUAAGAAUGGCAGGAUAACAGUUUCUAGAGUGGAAAAGUGGAGCUCUGGCCUGAUUCUAUCAUCAUGGUGUACCCAGGGAGGCCUCAUUUCCUGGUAUCAAAUUCUCUGUGUUAAGAUAUCUAUGGCCCAAUUCAAAAUGGCUUAAGCAAUAAGAAGGUUUGUUUUCUCACAUAAUAAAAUGUUUGGAGGUAGGUAUGUCCAAGGUUGGUAAAGAGGCAGUUGAACAAUGUGACCAAAGACUCCAGUUCUGGCUGGGCCCGGUGGCUCACACCUGUAAUCCCAGCACUUUGGAAGGCUGAGGCAGGCGAAUCACUUGAGGCCAGGAGUUCGAGACCAGCCUAGCCAACAUAGUGAAACCCUGUCUCUACCAAAAGUACAAAAAUUAGGCAGGCAUGGUGGCGCGCGCCUGUAGUCCCAGUUACUCCAGAGGCUGAGACAGGAGAAUUGCUUGAAACCGAGAGGCAGAGGUUGCAGUGAGCUGAGAUCAUGCCGUUGCACUACAGCCUGGGUGAGAGAGUGAGACUCUCUCAGAAAAAAAAGACCCUGGUUCUGUCUAUCCUUUUGUGCCAUCAUCCUUGGUGUUCUGUUAUCCUGCGGUGUGCCCCUCAUGGUCCCAAGAUGGCUACUGUAGCUCAAAACAUCACAUCAUUACAUGCGAAUGUCCACAAGUGGAAGUUAGGACAUCCCUUCGAGCCUCUUUUUAAGAGUGAAGAAACCUUCCCUGGCUGGAUGCAGUGGCUCACACCUUCUGACCUUCCACUCCUCAAGCCCCGGAGUCAACUCUAGUCACACUGGCCUCCUUGCUGUGCCUCUUCCACAGCGAAUGUGUCCUGGCCUCAGACCCUUUACAUUUGCUGUUCCCUGUGCAUGGAACGCUCUUCCCUCAGGUCAUACAUAGCAUACAUUACUGAGUGCUCUCCAUGUGCCCAGCAUGGUUUGAUGCGCUUUACAUAUAUUAACUCAUGGAACCUAACAGCUUUAUGAGACGAGUCUGUUAUCUCCAUCCCCAUUUGAUAGAUGGGGCAUCCCUGUGGGAGCUCUGCCCAUUCCAGAGGUGCCAGGCCAUUCACUAAUGGGGGCAGGAGCCGGUGAGUAAAUGCCAGUCUUGUGCUGUCACAGGUGGACGAUUCAGAGAGGUGUUCUAGACCAUUCAGAUCUUUCUGGAACCUUCUCAGAGACCAGAAGUACUCAGCCCUAUUGCUACAACUGACUUCACUAACACACCCUCUGUCCCAUUCCUCCCACCCCUUACUUCUGCUUCCAGGGAUCACCUCCCACAUAAACGACUUACACUCAAGUCUCAGACUUGCUAUCAGGGAACCAAAACUAAAACAAAAGGGAAACUUGAUACUGGGUCAUCCCCUAUAGUUCUGUACCUUGCCUGGGUUAAAAUUGCACUAUUUUAUUAGAUGUGUGACCUUGGGCCAGUCACCUGUCUGUGCCUGUUUCCUAAUCUGUAAAACGGACAUAAUGUCACCUAAUUCACAGGGGUGUUGGAAGAGUGAAGAGAGAUGGUGUUAGGUGAGGUCCUUAAAACAGUGCACAACGCAUUAUAAGUGCUCAAUAAAUGUUUGCUGUUUGAUUGCAUUUUAAAUUGUAACAGAGCUUGAACGUCUCUCCGUGUCUUCACUUUCAGACUAGGCUUGAUGUAUUAGUCAAGACUUUUGUUUGCAAGUGACAGAAAGCCAAAGUGAAUUAGCUUAAUGAAAAUGGGGAUGCUUGGCUAUUCCCGUGACUGAGGUGAAGCGGAGCCUCAGGGGAAAGUAAGUUGAGAGAUUUCUUUUCUCUGCCCUCACUCAGCAGAGGGAUUAUCUCUACAUGUCAGGAACAUGACUGUCAACAGCGAUGAUAUUUGGCUUUAAAUAAGGGAAACCUGACAACAGAGACUUCAUACAACUUAAAGUGUUUCCUCUUUAAAAAAAAAAACAGUCGAGGUAGGAAGUCCAUGGCUGGGAUGGCUGCUCCAUGGUCACUAGUGGCAUAGGCCCUUUCUAUCUUGCCGCUCCAUCAUUUUCCAGCAGAGUUUUCAUUCUCAGGGUCACCUCCUAUUCAGGAUUGCUGCUGAAGUGCCAGCCGUCUCAUCCAAAUUCCACCCUGGAAAGAGGUGGAGAAAUGGAAAGGCAAAGGAUAUGACCCCUCCCCUUUUGAGGAUGCUAUCUCAGAAGUUUUGUAUAACACUUCCCCUUGCAUGUCAUUGACUAGAAAUUGGUCACACGGCCACCCCUGGCUGCAAGGGCAGCUGGAUAUGUUGUCUUCAUCCGUAGCGGUAAUGUGCUGAGCUAAAACUGGAGUUCUCUUACUAAGGAAGAAUAGAGAUUGAUAAGUAGCUAGCAAUCGGGGCCACAGCUCUCAAGUUACAGGCCUUAUGGCACAGAGACAGGGAGAGAGAGAAAAUUUCCAAGUUCUAGUCAGAUGCCUACAUAUGGACAAGCCAGCUAUGGCAUUGGGGGACACAGACUUUCUUAAAAGCAUAAGCCACCAUUAUUUAUUAUAAUGACUUAAAGGUAAGGAGUUCAUUUAAAGAUAAUUACUGGUCACCUGCUAUUGGCUAGGCUAGACCCAGGGGAUUUAGUGAUCAGCAAAAAGACACUACCAAUCUCUGCAUUAUGAGGCUUACAGUGUAGUGGAGGAUUCAGAUAAUGACCAAAUAAUCACACUGGUUAAUGGAAAGUAUACAUUGGUAGUGGGUGCUGCAAAAGAAUGGCAUGUGGUUCUGAGGAAGUGUUUUAGUCCUUUUUGGCUGCCAUAGCAAUACCAUAGACUGGGUGGUUUAUAAACAACAGAACUUUGUCUCUUACAGUUUUAGGGGCUGAGAAAUCCAAGAUCAAGGUGACUUUGUAUCUCCCCAACAUUCAUAUGUUGAAAUCCCAACCUCCAGGUGAUGGUGUUGGGAGGUGGGCCUUUGGGAAGUGAUUAUGUCACGGGGUUCAUGGGGGUAGAGCCCUCAUGAAUGAGAUUAGUGUCCUUUUUCUUUCUUUUGAGACAGGGUCUCACUUUGUCACCCAGGCUGGAGUGCAGUAGAACUGUAAAGAAAACUUCUAAUUUUUAAAAUCAGGAACCUGAUAAUAACUAAGGAAUCCUGAACAGAGUGUUGGUAGAAAUACAGAUGAAAAAGGCCAUUUGGAUGAGGAAAUGAGGAAGAUAUUAUUGGACAAUGGAAAAAAGGCCAUGUUGUUAUAAAAUGGCAAAGAACUUGGCUGAAUUAUGUCCACGUUCUAGUGUUUUAUAGGAGGUAGAACUUGUGAGCAAUGAAACGGAAUAUUUAGCUAAAGCUAUUUCUAAGCAAAGUGUUGAAGCUGUGGCUUGGCUCCUCCUGACUGCUUAUAGUAAAAUAGAAGCAGAAAGAAAUGAGUUAAAGAUGUGACUUUUAAGCGAAUAGGAAGCAAAACGUAAAGAUUUGAAAAAUUUUCAGCCUAUCCAUAUUGCAAAGAAUGAGAAAGAAUGUUUGGGAGAAAACACCAUAGUCUCCAUAAGGAGACUGUAAUGGUGAUGAACGUAAUCAGCCAUCCCAGCAGGAAAACUGCCGUCUUGAAUUGAAGGGGAAGGAGAUGGGAAGGGAUGAGGAAGGAAAGCUGUCUGACUUCUUGGAUUUUUCAGGACAAGACCAGAGUGCAAACUCUUCAAGACAAGGGAAGAAUGACCCUGAAGGCAAUUCAGAGAUCAUCAAGGCUAUCUCCUUGCUUUCAAAAGUCGGGAGCAUUGCCUUGCAUUCAGCAGGUUAGAGGGCCUCUGUCCAAAGCCAUGGAGGAAGAGCUGCCCAGAGCUGUUGGUGUGGGGCUACCCAGAGCCCUGGGAACAUGACUUCUGCGGGAUAGAGCUGGAGGGACAGGACCACCACCCCAGAGGGUACAGAGGGUGGGACCACCACCAUUGUGGAUCUGGAAGGCUGCCUCAGUGGGCCUGGAAGCAGAGCAUUUAAUGAACUAAAAAUGAUUUUUCUUGAGCCUUAAGAUCUCAUGGAGUUUGCCUUGUAGUUUGGAUGUAAUUUGGAUCUGCUAUUCCUUUCUUCUUUCCUAUUUCUCCCUUUUGGAAUGGUCUAUCCUAUGCCUGUCUCACCAUUGUAUUUUGGAAGCAGAUAACUUGCUUGAUUUCACAGGCUCACCGCUGGAGAACAAUUUGCCCCAGGAUGCAUCACACCUUGAGUCUCAGCCAUAUCUGACUUAGAUGACACUUAGAUAAUAAAACUUUGGAUUUUAGACUUCA